rnacentral:rRNA from 2 species
UACGGAGGGUGCAAGCGUUACUCGGAAUCACUGGGCGUAAAGAGCGUGUAGGCGGAUAUAUAAGUCAGAAGUGAAAUCCAAUAGCUUAACUAUUGAACUGCUUUUGAAACUGUAUAUCUAGAAUGUGGGAGAGGUAGAUGGAAUUUCUGGUGUAGGGGUAAAAUCCGUAGAGAUCAGAAGGAAUACCGAUUGCGAAGGCGAUCUACUGGAACAUUAUUGACGCUGAGACGCGAAAGCGUGGGGAGCAAACAGG